rnacentral:tRNA from 1 species
GCUGGUUUGAUCUAGUGGUGAAGACACCAGGCUAGAAACCAGGAGACUGUGAGUUCUAGUCUUAUUUUAGGCA